CACGACCAAAAAAAAGCUUCUUCUCAAAAAGAGGCUAUUUAGAAAAAUUCUUUUGAAAAAAAUAAGAAAUGGGAGAUUUGAAAAUUUUUCACCGCCUUUUCAUUUAUUCCAUUUUUUUUACAUUUUUUUAAAAUUUAGAAAUUGAGCUAGUCUUUUUCUUGAAAAGGAGAUGAUUUAGAAAAGCUCUGCCCAAAAAUGAAAAAAAUUUCAAACAUCAACUUUUCAUUUAUUUUUGAUAACUUUAAAACCAAAAAAAAAAAAAAAAAAACACAUUUGUAGGGGGAGAUUAUGCAUAUCUGGGGUGCUGGUUACUUCGAUCCUUAGCUUCUAGGAAAGGAUUCAUGAAAGUAACAAAUCUCUCUACAUGAUCAGGACCCUCUGAGUACCAUUGGUUCAGACCGAGAACCUCACGGGGGUCCAACCCUAAAUACGAGUUGGGUAUUGGUCCAGAACAAAUAAAAACUUGUAAAUUGGGAAUUUACUCCUCGUUAUUUCCUCUGGGCAAGUGACCGCACAACCAAUAUUAUCAUAGGACGAAUUUGAGUGUUGGGAAACGAAUAGUAAUUACGUAAAUAAGAACACAGAUCUUCUUCAAGUACAUCUAAUUAUCUCAAAUUACGAGAAAAGAACAACAUGAAGUUGAUAUCUCUUGAGAGUAAUUAUUGGAGAAGGAAAGGGAGGUUGAGAAUUACUACAAAUUCGUAGCCUAUUCUCGGAUUGGUAUUUUUUGGAUAAAAAAUUGGUAAAGAAAAGAUAAAUACCUGGGAUUGUGUUGAGUUGGGAAGACAAUAUAAUUAAUUCCAACCAUACUAGGAAUUAAUUAAAAAUUGCUUGUUGUAUGGUGAUACACUUCCGGAAGUUCCAAUACACCUGACUUUAUAGAAUUAAUAAUUAUAGGGAGUAUCACAAGUCAGUGUGAAAAGAUUCCCUAUCCAAUUAAAUUGGACACGUAAAUAAGAGGCACUUCCGUAAAUAGUGACCCCUGAGCUCCACGUACUUGGCUAGUUUCAUCCACUGCGUUAUAGAACGAAUAGAAUUAGUAGAAUGAAUAUUCUGACCCCCGAAUCCACACUGGUAGCCCCCCAAGCCUCAGAGAGUCUAGGAGAGCUGACCAGGCAGUUCGGCAGUACAUUGGAUACUGACUGUACAGUGGAACUAGCAACUAUGAGCUAAGGGUAAAAAUGAGUCUGGACCAAGCAGCAGAGGCAGCGGAUGCGCGCGUUUCUGGGCUAUGAUUGGUUAAAUAUUGUGUCAUGAGAUCGCGGAAAUACCCAUGUAAUGAUGGUAUCCGCGAGCAGAAUAUUCGCGUCAGGUUGGGCAAUAUAGUAAAUGUUUUUUCUCCCAGUUAGGUAGCAGAAAAAGCUGUUUUUUCUCCCUCUACAAAUGCCCCGAUUUAGGUGACAGAUGAACAAGGGAGAAAUAUGGUACGUAAAUCAAUAAGAAGCGGGAGAACAGAAUCAAUAGAAUCAAUAAUCUUCAUAUUCAGCAUCAGUAAUCUGCAUGCCCAACCUAUCAGCUAAUCAAUAGAAUUAAUAGAAUCAAUGAUGAUCAUCCGCGCCCACUGCCCCGAAUUAUGUAGUAUAUUUACGUGCUUGUGAAGUGUGUACCGGAAGUAAUAGAAUUAAUAAGAAAUCCCUACAACUCAAUCAAGAUAUUCCAGGGAUAAAGAUAGAAGAAAGGUACAUGGAAAAUUAAACUCAAGAGUAAAAAAUACAAAGUAGAAAAAUGCAUAAAAAGUUACAAAAUACAGUAAGUGAAAAAUGCAUAAGUAGUUAAAGUAGAGAAUAAAAAAUAACAACAAUAUUUACAGUAUGAAAAAAUGAAAAAAAAAAAUAUCAGGUAUUUUCGUAAAUAAAAGUUGAAACUUGAAAAUACAAUGAACUGGAAAUAUUCAAACGUAUGUAAAAAAUUCAUUUCCAUGUAUGAGAAUAAAAUUGUAAAAACUCAUUAUUAAUUGUAACAUUUUUUUAUUUUUUUUUUAUUUAGGAGUACCAAUGGGAAGAAUACAUACCGCAUUGAAAUCGUGCAGAGUCAACUUACAUGAAUGCAGAAUCAGUGAAGAAGCUCCUCUAAAGCUCGGAGAGUUCGGUCGCUUGAGGUAUGGUUUUCGUAGUCGCUUAUCAGCUAGAAAUGGAAUUAAUCCCAGCAAGAUUUCGAGAUGGAAACUCUGCGGUAGUACUGGAAGAUCAUUCUCAGUUGGAUCCUGUCUAUCGAUUAUUGUUUCAAUUUCAUGAAGGUAGAUGAUUCGUCGUGUAUUACUGAAUAAUACAGCCUUGUAUCGGAGCCAAGCGCGAAAAUCUUUGCAAAGCUGAUCAUUUUCUUUAGUAUAAUUGGAGCUGGAACAGGCGCUGCUUCGUGUAUGUGUGCUGGAGCCGAUGGCUGGAGUACUGGAUGAAAGACUUCUUCGAAGUUGAUAUCUGAUGUGGUCGAUGAAGCUGAAGAAAUCGAGUAUUGAUCGCAUUGACGUGGAGGUUUAGCAGACGUACCGGAAUCAGAUGGCAGCGGCGAAUCGAUUUUGGCUGGAACAGCAGCUUUUUCAUCAUCAGAGCUCGAUUCGGACAGAUUUAUCUCAGGAAUGGCGAUCGCUGGCAUCGACGCUGGAGCGGAGAAGCUGUCGAAGUUCGGAAGCUAGCUGGGAAUUACGUUCGUGCUGAUUAUUCAUCGCGAUAUUCAUCUCAGUGAGCUGAGCUCUGGUAGCGUUAUUGAUGAUGAGGCGAAUGCUUUCGGCGAUUGGUGAUUUUUGAACGACGAUCUCACGUAGCGCUUUGAUAUUAAUAUUCGCGACGCACUUUUUGAACGGACAAAGUAUUUUUCGCUCUUUAAGAGUUUUUGUUUUAAUCAUAAAGCACUUCAAGUGCACCAAAUGGUUACACUCCUUACCAGUGAUUAAUACCGCAGGUCCAGUGGCACCGGAUGGAGGAACAGCAAGCGAACCGUCACAGAAAGGGCAGACAGCUAUCGAGAGCUCACAAGUAUGAUCGAUUUCCGCGUUGGCCAUAGUAUCGACGAACUAAUUAGAAUCAACAGAAAAAAUCACCGGAGUCUCGAACAAAUAAACGGCUUGAGUAACGAACGAACUGAACGAAGACAUACAAUCCUUACGAAGAACAGAUUACUUAUGAAGACAGAAUCAGUACUUGCGUAAAUUCCUGGUGCAAAAAAUGGCCUAAAAGGCUGACGGUGGAAGGGAUUAUCUCGCAAAUAUCUUGUUAAAUGUUGGGUAAAGGGAGUAGAAAGCUAUCUGCGAUAGCUGUAGAUUAUCGCUAGAUGUCUGGCAAAUUCUAUAUUUAAUCCCUUAUCUAUUGUAGACAGCAUUGUUAGAAUAAUUGCAUUUUAGAAGAUAUAUUUGUUGAUAAUUUCUGUCUGUAUGCUAUUUUUAUCCUUGAAUAAAUAGAAUCAAUAGAAUCAA